UACGAAGGGGGCUAGCGUUGCUCGGAAUGACUGGGCGUAAAGGGCGCGUAGGCGGUUUGUACAGUCAGGUGUGAAAUUCCUGGGCUUAACCUGGGGGCUGCGCUUGAUACGUGUGGACUGGAGUGCGGAAGAGGGUCGUGGAAUUCCCAGUGUAGAGGUGAAAUUCGUAGAUAUUGGGAAGAACACCGGUGGCGAAGGCGGCGACCUGGUCCGUGACUGACGCUGAGGCGCGAAAGCGUGGGGAGCAAACAGG
rnacentral:rRNA from 1 species